ensembl:lncRNA
AAACUCCAGGCCUGAAGGGGGCAGCAGAGAGAAGUAACCGACACAGGCACAGACUAAAUGCAACCCAUGUUUCUGGAGGGACCAAUUUCACCUGCGCAACUCUAAAAUAAGCAUGGGUGUAAGUUGUUUGGAGUUAGCUUAGUGUGAACUCCUUGCUUGGUCUCCUCAGCCUACAGACGCAGCUCAUGUUCAACCACAGACGCAACUGCUAUGGUACAGCUCAGUGAAGUGCUACACACAUUCACAGGCUGACCAUGCACUCACAACCUUUAAGACAGAGCUGGUACCUCUCUCCAGACCAACAGCCAGACGAUAAGUGUGUUGGUGGGACUUGAAGUGCUUACCAGGACUUCAGUGCUUACAAUCGUCGUCCCUUAUCAACGUCAAGAAACUCCACUUGACCAGAGACAUGCUAGCCAUUACGAGGUCGAAGUCAUAUUUGACACGUUAUGUUCACAUGACAUUGAUUCCUAUAUGACGUCAACUAUAAGUAUAACUUCCGAGCAGUAAGCUCUGUGCGUCUCGGUGGUGUACUGUCAAAUAAAUAACUAACCCCUUAUGUUUUUUUUCAUCACGACCAAUAAAAAACAAGUGUUACCCCUUAUGUUUUUUUCCUGAAGACCAAUUAAAAAACAACAGUGUUACCCCUUAUAUUUUAUUUGACAAAAACAGUGUUACCCCUUAUGUUUUUAUUGAAAAAGACAACAGUGUUACCCCUUAUAUUUUAUUUGACAAAAACAGUGUUACCCCUUAUGUUUUUAUUGAAAAAGACAACAGUGUUACCCCUUAUGUUUUUUUUCAUGACGACCAAUAAACAGUGUUACCCCUUAUGUUUUUUUUCAUGAUGACCAAUAAAAAACAACAGUGUUACCCCUUAUGUUUUUUUUCAUGACCAAUAAAAAACAAGUGUUACCCCUUAUGUUUAUUUUCAUGACCAAUAAAAACAGUUGUUACCCCUUAUGUUUUUUUUCAUGACGACCAAUAAAAAACAAUAGUGUUACCCCUUAUGUUUUUAUUCAUGACGACCAAUAAAAAAACAACAGUGUUACGCCUUAUGUUUUUUUUAAUGACGAC